AACGAACGCUGGCGGCAUGCCUAAUACAUGCAAGUCGAACGAGAUCUUCGGAUCUAGUGGCGCACGGGUGCGUAACGCGUGGGAAUCUACCCUUGGGUUCGGAAUAACAGUUAGAAAUGACUGCUAAUACCGGAUACGUCCGUAAGGAGAAAGAUUUAUCGCCGAAGGAUCGGCCCGCGUCGGAUUAGCUAGUUGGUGGG
rnacentral:rRNA from 1 species